AAAUGAGCAUUUGCAAACCAUUGUAAUAUUCCUUACUUUGACAUAAAGCUCGUGGGAAGAGCAAAAAUCCAACACAUACACACACAAGCACAACACAAAUUUUUUCUCUCUCUCUCAAAACAUUUUUUCUCUCCCCUCUCUCUUCUAAAAAAACAAAACCCUAAACAUUUUCUUUCUCCCCUCACUUCUCUCUUAGCCGCCAUCCUUCCACGCCGGAGCUCGGAGCUCCGGCGAACUCUUCGUCUCCCUCCCUCUCUUCAGCGUGCACACCAGCCCGCACACCACCACUCCACGACCCCACUGCCCCGUAACUCCUUCUUCCUCACCCAACGAAAUCGCCGCCUUCCACCAUCUUCUCUGGUGACGAGCUCACCGGAAUCCCACACCAACACCACUAUCCCUUCGCCCCCGCCCCCACUGCUUCUUCCUCCCAUCGCACAGCCCCCCUUCGUCUCCCUCUACUCCAUCCGCCACAUCUCUCUCUUUCCAGCCUCUCCUCCACGCCGGAGCUCGGAGCUCCGGCGAAUCCCCCACCACAACCAAACAGCCCCUUCAUCUUCUCACUGGAACAGGACCACUGUCUUGAAAAAAAUUAUUGAAUAUGUAUAAAUUAUUACGUUAGAACCCAAUAACUUAAACUAAUUAGAAUCCCGAACCCACAAGCUUUAAAUUCUAUCUCCGCCUCUGGCCCCAACAACCUCUGAGCGGCUUUGUCUCAAGCAUUUUAGUAUGAUUUCAAUUUAAUGUCACUGAUGACAGUUGUAGUUCAACAGCUUGAUAAGAACUAAAACAAAAAAAUUAACCACCUUGAUGUUGUCAAUGUUUUUUAGCACUUCUGCUGUAAUUUUGAGUGUUGCAACCUUUGGUACUUCCUUUUGUUGAAUACAUUGUGUUCAAGGAGCAGAGGAAAAUUGAAACUUGAAGAUAGAAAAGAAAUACACCUUCAAAUGCAAGAAACGUAUAUGCUAAAGUUUGGCCGAUGAAGAAAUUUCCGUCGAUUUCCAAGGCCUUCCAUGUACAAAGACAGGUUUUUAUUUUAAGUUUAUUCAUUAUUUCUUUAAUUCAUCCGAUAAUUAUUUAUUAUCUUACUAACAUUUUUAUUAAGUCUCAUGCAGGUAUCUGGAGUUACUUUUUUGAAGAUGACACUCAAAAGAAGUUCAAAUAGCUUCUUAAAUUUUUUGUUUAUAUAUUUUGUUUACAUUCUUAAAUUAUGCAAGCAUAAAAUAUAGUGAAAUUUUACUUUUUAGGGUGUAGGUUGGUGGUACUUAUUUAUGAUCUGCUUAGGUGAUUUAAAUUUUAUGUGUUUUAGACAAAUUAAUAUUAGACAGUUAUUAUUUUUGUAGCUAAUAUUCUUAUAGUUAUCAUGUUUCGCUAGAGUUUUAAUUCAAUAACUGAGCACACUUAAGUGAAUAAAUAGGGUGAUUUUCCUCAAUAUUUAGGCUUUAGAAUAUACUCUCAUAAUUAAUUGAUUGGGCGUACAUACCUAAUUAGUUAAAUUAGUUAACUCACUUCGAGUGCGAAAUAAUUUUAUGUUCAUUUUUGAUACCUUUGUCACAUACCCAAGCUUCUAAGUUGCACAUAACUUUUUUAAAAAAAAAUUAUUAUUAUAUCACAUAUGUAUAAAAUACGUAUUGCACGAUUAUUUAUGUGAAUAGUCAUAUUAGUUAUUCUUUAGUCUAAGCUCUACUAAUUUUUGUAAAUAAUAAUCAAGCCUUUUUACACAUCCCUCGAAUAGUUAAAUUGGUCCAGCCGGGAACCACAUUUGUGGAUUCUGAAGGAUGCCUAACACCUUCCCUUCGGAAUAAUUUGAACCCUUACCUAGAAUCUCACUUAUUUUCGUAGAUCAUGUUAAGCUGCAUAUAUUAAUAAUUUAUAGGUACCCUAGUAUACCUUAAAAGAUAGGUGGCGACUCUGUACAUAAUUAAUUAUUUCAGAGCUCCAUAAGUUGUGCUUUGUUUAGCCUUUGGUAAAAAUGGGGUGCAACAACAUGGCGACUCUGCUGGGGACACUUAGGUUCUAACCAUAUGGACUCAAUUUGUUAUUCGAGGUAUGUUGUCUUUAUUUGAAUUUUUCUUUAUUUUACUUGCCUGUAUUUAUUCGUCAUGUAUAUCCUUUCCCUUGUUCCCUUAUUUGUUUACGUACAUAUCUGCUUUUAAUUUCAUACACUGUAUUAUUGCCUUUUUUACUAGCAAGUUUUAUUUACCAUACUCAUUUUUUACUUUAUUAUAAAUUAUGCAUCUUGUUUUUACUGUUUCUCUUUGAUUGCUAUCUUUUGGUGGUUUUAUAUUAAUAUUCAUAUGUGUUAUCGGUAUAUAUAAAAUGGCAUGCCGUUCAUAUUUCCUCCACUUCUGGAAAACUCACACUAUCACACGUACACGCGAGGUGUGUUUUGCGCACCCGCGAUUUCUUUUUCCCGUAGAAUCCAAAUUUUAGGAGAGUUGGUGUAUGCGCGGGGUGCCCGAGUAACGGGGACCGCGUAGCCUUCUCACUCGAGUAGUCCGCUCGGGAGCCUUGUGUCAUAGAAAAAUCAACUCUUAGAAUUCCUAGGUUACUGUACAUCCCAUUUUGCAGUUAUUUUUAGCUAGGUUGAAUUUUGUCUUUUAUUUCGAACAUUCUUUUCAUUUUCACAUACUCUUUAUUUGUUACAUGUUUUGUUUUUAAAUAAAUAUUGUGUUAUUUGCUUUGCACUGCCUUAGCACUUUAUCUAAUUAUUUUUAGUUGACUCGUGUUGAACCCUGCAUUUUGUAAAAAAAAAAAAAAAAAAAAAAAAAUCAUGCAUUUUAUACCCCAUCAGCAAGAACUACGCACACCUGAUUCUCUUCUUUGAUGAGAUACGUAGGCAGCCUUUUUGGGUUCGGUAUUCAUUAUUCAUAAAAAAAAAAUCCUUUAUUUUGGAAAAAUCACAAAAAUAUUUUAUUUCUUUCUAUCCUAUUUAAACGAACUACGCGCACCUGAUUCUCAUCAAAGAUGAGAUACGUAGGCAAUCCUUUUUGGGUUCGGUACCCUUAUUCAAAAAAUACAAAAAAUAUUUUUUAGAUUCAUAUCUUUAACUUGGUUGUUACCAACACAGUUAGAAUGUGCAUAGGAAAGAAACAAGUAACAAUCAAUAUGAUGGAAAGUACUGACUUCGUGGUAAACUAUAGAUUCUUUUGGUACCUCUUAUUCACACUUUAAGUGACACUUGAAAAAUUCUCUUGCAUGCUUGUAAGACAAGAACAAAACCAACUUCAUUGUUUCAUGUGCAUUGUGUGGUGAGCUUUAGAUAGCGUUCAGUUGCAUUGCAUUGUGAUCUAGAACUUGGCCUGAAUGUCUAUUGAGGCGAAAUUAUGAGUAACACUCAGCAUAGAAAAGGAUCGUAGGCCUUCUUUGAUCCUUUUGAGCCUUUCUAGCCUACCAAAUGACAUUAUCUCUAGCAUUCCCCCUUUGAGCCUAAAGCCUUUUCUUUGGCCACCACAUCAUAAGCCUAUACCAUUUCUAAGUGCUUACAUGCACUAUCUCUCUCUUGGCCCAACCUCCCUGAGCGUACUAAAAAAACGUGCAACUGCGGAUAGAGAUCGGAGCUGAAGUUUCCAAAAAAAAAAAAAAAAAGAUUCGACCGUCCCAGAAAAACAAAGGCUAAGAACGACCUCCAAAGCAAGAAGGAGCCCACAAAAACAAAAAAAAAAAAAAAAAAAAAAAACCUCAGUCAUUUGGGAUCUCGGACAUACAACCUGUUAUUCCUUUUUAUUUUUCACACUCAGGCAUACAAUCCGGAAUUAGUAUCAAGACCUCGGGCAUACAACCCAGGUCAAUUCUCUUAAUCCCCACAGAGUCUCGGGCAUGCAACCCUAAACAAAAAAAAAAGGGCUUUAACUUGCAAAAGAGGUCGCACAAGUACAAAAGAAAGGGACAAUAAAACAAAGUAGAUCAGCGUCAGAGCACACAAAUACUAAGCACAGACAUAUUGCAACGCUUACGGAAGGAUUAGUCACUCCUUACCCAAAUAAUAUCCUACCCUUUUCCCAAGCCUACAUUACAACACCAUAACAAGCCCUACGUGAUUCUAUGCUAAGGUUUCUCUCAUUAGUGGAUACUUACAUGACGGCCAAGCUUAUGGUAUUACAAUUGCAAGCAUUGAACAUCUUUCUGAGUUUGAGUGUACUUCUCUAGAUGUCUCAAAGUUCAAAAAUACUGAAUAUGUGUGAAAAGACACUUUCUUUCUGGUGAGGGCACUUGAAACAUGAGGAUAGGUAUAGUUCAUAAUCCUUGUUUGAACCAAAAUGAACCAAUCUUGUCGAUCUUUAGGUAUGUCUGAGGUACCACUUGAAGCUAUAGAAAUUACCAAUAAGUCGAUCUUGGUUUGUUGGACGAUAAAUAAUGGUGAAUUCUUAUGCACAAUACUAAUUGUUGGUACCAACUGAAGUCGGGGCAUGUUAUAUCAAUCAUUUUUAUUAUUAAAAAAAAAAACAAUUUUGCUAGAUUUUGCUUUCGUGAUUUUGUUAUUUUUUUUUUCUUAAUUUUGUUUUUUAUCGUUGCACAGUAAAUAUAGUUCAAUGUUGUUGUGUUGUUACUAACUCUACGAGGUAUCGACAUCUGGUCUUACCAUGAAAGAUCCUCGUAUUUCUCCGCUGAAGCAUGAAAUUGGGAGAACAUUUUUGAGUUAGCUUAAAAAAAAAAUAACAAGUGCACAUCAUUUUCCGCUGGAAGUAUGCGAAUUUUUGUUUGUUUAAACUGGGACAGAAUUUUUGAGGGGGCCCUCAAAAAUUCCACCAAUGGCACAUUUUGAGAGAAAAGGCACGGGCUCAUCCAGCAGUAGGACACUGCAUUGGCUCGUCCAGCCCCACAACAGGACAUCGAGGGCGUCAUAGUCUAAAGGCAUCAUUCUCAUCGCCUAAAGCCACCAUUUCAUGGCCUAAGGACCUUACCUUCUGCACUUCAUUCGCGCCGAAGCAAAGGCGUUACCCUCCACACCAGCAUUGCUUUAUUAUUUUCAAAUGCCUCUGCGUAUGCUCGCAGCCGCAUUGCAUUGCACCUGCAUUGCUCACCGCUUUUUAUUACUGCCUGGGCCAUGCACCGCCCUUUUAAAUUUCUGCAUAAGGCUGUGCACCGCCUUUCAUAUGAUGCAUGGGCUGCGCACCGCCCUUUGCAUCGCUUUCAUAUAUUACAUGGGCCAUGCACCGCCCUUUGUAAUUUCUGCAUAAGGCCGCGCACCGCCUUUCAUGUUGCAUGGGCCAUGCACCGCCCUUUGUAAUUUCUGCAUAAGGCUGAGCACCGCCUUUCAUAUGAUGCACGGGCUGCGCACCGCCCUUCGCAUCGCUUUCAUAUGUUACAUGGGCCAUGCACCGCCCUUUGUAAUUUCUGCAUAAGGCUGAGCACCGCCUUUCAUAUGAUGCACGGGCUGCGCACCGCCCUUCGCAUCGCUUUCAUAUGUUACAUGGGCCUUGCACCGCCCUUUGUAAUCUCUGCAUAAGGCUGAGCACCGCCUUUCAUACGAUGCACGGGCUGCGCACCGCCCUUCGCAUCGCUUUCAUAUGUUACAUGGGCCAUGCACCGCCCUUUGUAAUUUCUGCAUAAGGCUGAGCACCGCCUUUCAUACGAUGCACGGGCUGCGCACCGCCCUUCGCAUCGCUUUCAUAUGUUACAUGGGCCAUGCACCGCCCUUUGUAAUUUCUGCAUAAGGCUGAGCACCGCCUUUCAUAUGAUGCACGGGCUGCGCACCGCCCUUCGCAUCGCUUUCAUAUGUUACAUGGGCUAUGCACCGCCCUUUUAAGUUUCUGCAUAAGGCUGAGCACCGCCUUUCAUAUAUUACAUGGGCCAUGCACCGCCCUUUGUAAUCUCUAUAUAAAGCUGAGACCGCCUUUCAUAUGCUGCCUGGGCUGCGCACCUCCCUUUCAAUUUUGUGCAUAAGGCUGAGCACCGUCUUUCAUAUGUUGCAUGGGCUGUGCACCGCCCUUUUGUAAUUUUUGCAUGGGCUGCGCACCGCCCUUUUGUAAUUUCUGCAUAAGGCUGAGCACCGCCUUUCAUAUGUUGCACGGGCCGCGCACCGCCCCUUGAAAAUUUCUGCAUAAGGCAUCGCGCUGCACCUGCAUUGCUUUGUUAUUGUCUUCAAAUGCUCUGUGUAGGCUCGCAGACGCAUUGCUCUGUACCUGCAUUCUUCGCCGAAGCAAAGGCGUUACAUAGCACGACCGUUCUUCGUCCUACACUUGCUAGGACCAUUCUAACAACACUGGGGCAAAAUUUGAUUGGACGAUCAAAAUUUGCCACAGCAUCCAUUAGUUAUCACCUUUCGAACUACACUGACCUGAUUCUCGUGAUUGACGAGAUAUGUAGGAAGCUCUAUGCAGAGUUCGGUCACAUCGGGACGAGAAUCAUUCUUUCCCCAGUAAGUAUACAAUCCUUCCCUUUUUAUCAUUUUUAUUUUUAUCGCAACCUUGCCGACGGACUGAGAGUAUUGUCAAAGCUCUACCAACGUCUGGCCUCUUUCUCCGUACAUAUCCUUUUAGCAAUUCUUUGUCGAGCCAAAAUAGGAUAAAUGUCAACGUCUUCGUCCGAAAACUCUUUCAUCGUCUCCGGUCGAAGAGGGACAAGUUGUUGACACCUAAUUUUGGCUCGACGUGCUUAAAAUUAACGUUUUGGGGGGCCUUGAUUCGUUAAAGAGCACGAAAUAUAUUUUUACACAUUUUUACAUUUUUUCAACAAUUUAUUGAUGAUUAUUCUUAUUUUAGGAAUUUUCUCAAUUUAUUGUUAUUUUCCAAGAAUCAUUAUUUUGCACAUGGUUGGGACAUUAUAGUUGAUUUAAGUGGGGACAUUAUAGUGGAAGUAAAUAAAUUGGUUGGGAAUUAAUGGAUAAAUUGAGGGGACAUGCCCAUGUGCAUUGGAAACGUGGAAGCAACUAUGGUAGUACCUCAUGGAUGAAGCAAAUUAAAUUAGUAGUAUUAUGUAUUCAUAUUGUAAUGAGUCAUAUUCCGUGGAAUGCAAAGUUGCACGUGAAAGGUGGAAGAGCAAUAUGUCAAUUGGUGGGAUUAUUAUUAUAUAGAUAUAAAAGAAAGGGGAGGACAAUAUUAAAAUCUAGCCCAUAUGCAUCAGAUUGGUGCCACAUUAUUGUACAGUGCUUAUUCUAUUAAAAUGAGCAUUUGCAAACCAUUGUAAUAUUCCUUACUUUGACAUAAAGCUCGUGGGAAGAGCAAAAAUCCAACACAUACACACACAAGCACAACACAAAUUUUUUCUCUCUCUCUCAAAACAUUUUUUCUCUCCCCUCUCUCUUCUAAAAAAACAAAACCCUAAACAUUUUCUUUCUCCCCUCACUUCUCUCUUAGCCGCCAUCCUUCCACGCCGGAGCUCGGAGCUCCGGCGAACUCUUCGUCUCCCUCCCUCUCUUCAGCGUGCACACCAGCCCGCACACCACCACUCCACGACCCCACUGCCCCGUAACUCCUUCUUCCUCACCCAACGAAAUCGCCGCCUUCCACCAUCUUCUCCGGUGACGAGCUCACCGGAAUCCCACACCAACACCACUAUCCCUUCGCCCCCGCCCCCACUGCUUCUUCCUCCCAUCGCACAGCCCCCCUUCGUCUCCCUCUACUCCAUCCGCCACAUCUCUCUCUUUCCAGCCUCUCCUCCACGCCGGAGCUCGGAGCUCCGGCGAAUCCCCCACCACAACCAAACAGCCCCUUCAUCUUCUCACUGGAACAGGACCACUGUCUUGAAAAAAAUUAUUGAAUAUGUAUAAAUUAUUACGUUAGAACCCAAUAACUUAAACUAAUUAGAAUCCCGAACCCACAAGCUUUAAAUUCUAUCUCCGCCUCUGGCCCCAACAACCUCUGAGCGGCUUUGUCUCAAGCAUUUUAGUAUGAUUUCAAUUUAAUGUCACUGAUGACAGUUGUAGUUCAACAGCUUGAUAAGAACUAAAACAAAAAAAUUAACCACCUUGAUGUUGUCAAUGUUUUUUAGCACUUCUGCUGUAAUUUUGAGUGUUGCAACCUUUGGUACUUCCUUUUGUUGAAUACAUUGUGUUCAAGGAGCAGAGGAAAAUUGAAACUUGAAGAUAGAAAAGAAAUACACCUUCAAAUGCAAGAAACGUAUAUGCUAAAGUUUGGCCGAUGAAGAAAUUUCCGUCGAUUUCCAAGGCCUUCCAUGUACAAAGACGGGUUUUUAUUUUAAGUUUAUUCAUUAUUUCUUUAAUUCAUCCGAUAAUUAUUUAUUAUCUUACUAACAUUUUUAUUAAGUCUCAUGCAGGUAUCUGGAGUUACUUUUUUGAAGAUGACACUCAAAAGAAGUUCAAAUAGCUUCUUAAAUUUUUUGUUUAUAUAUUUUGUUUACAUUCUUAAAUUAUGCAAGCAUAAAAUAUAGUGAAAUUUUACUUUUUAGGGUGUAGGUUGGUGGUACUUAUUUAUGAUCUGCUUAGGUGAUUUAAAUUUUAUGUGUUUUAGACAAAUUAAUAUUAGACAGUUAUUAUUUUUGUAGCUAAUAUUCUUAUAGUUAUCAUGUUUCGCUAGAGUUUUAAUUCAAUAACUGAGCACACUUAAGUGAAUAAAUAGGGUGAUUUUCCUCAAUAUUUAGGCUUUAGAAUAUACUCUCAUAAUUAAUUGAUUGGGCGUACAUACCUAAUUAGUUAAAUUAGUUAACUCACUUCGAGUGCGAAAUAAUUUUAUGUUCAUUUUUGAUACCUUUGUCACAUACCCAAGCUUCUAAGUUGCACAUAACUUUUUUUUUAAAAAAUAAUUAUUAUAUCACAUAUGUAUAAAAUACGUAUUGCACGAUUAUUUAUGUGAAUAGUCAUAUUAGUUAUUCUUUAGUCUAAACUCUACUAAUUUUUGUAAAUAAUAAUCAAGCCUUUUUACACAUCCCUCGAAUAGUUAAAUUGGUCCAGCCGGGAACCACAUUUGUGGAUUCUGAAGGAUGCCUAACACCUUCCCUUCGGAAUAAUUUGAACCCUUACCUAGAAUCUCACUUAUUUUCGUAGAUCAUGUUAAGCUGCAUAUAUUAAUAAUUUAUAGGUACCCUAGUAUACCUUAAAAGCUAGGUGGCGACUCUGUACAUAAUUAAUUAUUUCAGAGCUCCAUAAGUUGUGCUUUGUUUAGCCUUUGGUAAAAAUGGGGUGCAACAC